rnacentral:rRNA from 1 species
AGCUCAAAUUUGAAAUCUGGGGCCCCCGGCCUCCGAGUUGUAAUUUGGAGAGGCAUCCUCCUGGGAAGAGCACCGGCCCAUGUUCCUUGGAACAGGACGUCACAGAGGGUGAGAAUCCCGUGCGAGGCCGGCUGCCCCAUCCCGUGUGAAGGGCCUUCGACGAGUCGAGUUGUUUGGGAAUGCAGCUCCAAGUGGGUGGUAAAUUUCAUCUAAGGCUAAAUACAGGCGGGAGACCGAUAGCGCACAAGUAGAGUGAUCGAAAGAUGAAAAGCACUUUGAAAAUAGAGUCAAAAAGUACGUGAAAUUGUUGAAAGGGAAGCGCUUGAGACCAGACUCAGGCCCAGGCAAACACCGCGCCCCUCGGGGCAGUGCAAUUGCCCGGGCCUGGGCCAGCACCAGUUGGCGUGGCGGGACAAAGGCGUGGGCAAUGUGGCUCCCCUCGGGGAGUGUUAUUAGGCCCGUGCUCAAUGCCGCCGACGUCGACUGAGGACCGCGCCCCGGUUAGGAUGCUGGC